rnacentral:rRNA from 1 species
AUAGCGUAUAUUUAAGUUGUUGCAGUUAAAAAGCUCGUAGUUGGAUCUUGGGUCGGGGGGAGCGGUCCGCCCCUCGUGGGUGUGCACUGGUCCAGCCGACCUUGGUUUUUUCUGCCGGGGACGCGCUCCUGGCCUUCGCUGGUCGGGACGCGGAGUCGGCGACGUUACUUUGAAAAAAUUAGAGUGCUCAAAGCAAGCCUAUGCUCUGAAUACAUUAGCAUGGAAUAACGCGAUAGGACUCUGGUCCUGUCUCUGUUGGUCUUCGGGACCGGAGUAAUGAUUGAUAGGGACAGUUGGGGGCAUUCGUAUUUCAUUGUCAGAGGUGAAAUUCUUGGAUUUAUGAAAGACGAACUUCUG